AUACGGAGGGUGCGAGCGUUAAUCGGAAUUACUGGGCGUAAAGAGUACGUAGGCGGUUUGGCCAGUCUGAUGUGAAAGCCCCGGGCUUAACCUGGGAACUGCAUUGGAUACUGUCAGACUUGAGUACAGGAGAGGAGAGUGGAAUUUCCAGUGUAGCGGUGAAAUGCGUAGAUAUUGGAAGGAACACCAGUGGCGAAGGCGGCUCUCUGGACUGAUACUGACGCUGAGGUACGAAAGCGUGGGGAGCAAACAGGAUUAGAAACCCUUGUAGUCC
rnacentral:rRNA from 1 species